UGGAAUCUGCUUGCCUAGCAACGGACACACAGCUGCUACAGGACAACAGGCCACUCUGGCAAAGGAUAAUACUAAAAAUCAAUCUUAUCUCCAGAAACAUGGCACCGUCUGUCAUUAAAACCUGGAAAGAAAAAAAGGACACCCUCCGGGAUUCAAGACAGCUCUUACUAUGGGAUCAGACUGUUACCGGUCUGCUCUUUUUUCAGGCAUAUGACCUCCCUUUUUGCAGGCAAAAGGAAGUGCUGUUCCCAUUCACCUAAGGAUCUCUUUUUCCAUUGCACGGUUAAAGGCAGCACAGCCUCCUCCUGGGGCAUUGAAUCCCCGUGUGAAGACUUCUCACAAGCACUACCUCUACGUUGAGCCCUAUGCAAGCCUUUCAAACCUGAGGUGGUCAGCAUGAGUGCCCAUCUGCCAGAGCACUCCCCACUACGCAGCCGAAAGGAUAACCUGCUGUAGCCCGGCCACCUUCGGGCCCUUUGGCUGCUUCCGCGCGCGGUGCUCACCCGAGGCUGGUCCUUAGAGAUGGGGAAGAAGCGGCGAUUGAAGCUAUCUGCCACCAGAACUGCUUGUAGGGGCGGCGGCGGUUCCUCCUCCGACCCUUUGGCUCCCGCGCCGCUGCCGCUUCCCGGCCCAGGGCCGCUGCGCUUGUUGGCCCGACUAGCCACCGCACCAGGCGACGCCACUACAGUCGCCGCCAUCUUCUUCCCUCACGGCCACCGCUUCCGCACGGAAGCUGACACCGCUCGGAGUAGGGGACAAAAAGGACCCAGCGCUCGAAACGCGAAGGAUCAACGAAAGGAAGGAGGGAGGAGACAAGGAGACAGCAGUGCGCAGGCGUGUUCCCUAGGCGCCGGCCCCUGGGAGGAGCAAGUCGUGGGCCGCCUUUGGGCUCAGCGGAUGGAGGCGCGGGGUGGGGUGGAGUCCUAAGGCGCACAGACUCGAAUUGCAGGAUUCUACCAAGAUCCCCCAUUGCAUUGCAUUUGUUUUCACUUCCCCUUAGUCUCCUCCAAUCUGUGACAAUUCUUCAGUGUGUCCUUGUCUUUCAAGACUUUAACUUUUGUUAUCUUUUAUCAGUUUUGGAAGUUCCACCAAGAUGCCCAGGGGAUUCACCUUACAGAGCCAGGAAACAGAAGCUCGGGGUUGCUAAGAAACUUGCCCACGGUCACAUAGCCAGUAGGAAGCCCAGAGGUGCAAGGUGAACCUGGGUAGUCUGGCUCCAAAGAAUGUGAUCUUCAUCACAAAGCUAUACGUUCUCUGUUUGGGCAGUACUGCUACUGGUUAGGCUCUUGAAACUCCUUCAUAAGUUCCUCCCCUGAUUUGUUAAGAUAUUUUUUUUUCUUUGAUGCUUCCCUGAAAGUUUUUCAAUCAACUACAGGCCAGUGUACUUUAUAUUCAACAAAGGAAUGUUUCAGAAUUCUAUGGAAAAGGACUAUUUCAUAUACUUUGGAGUACAGGUUUCUGAUGGCAUUGCUUAAACAAUUUUGAAACCAUACUAGUGGACUCAGUCAGGAUUUCUAGAACUCUAGAGAAGCCAAUGAGUUCAUGACACCACUAGCCCAAGAUCCACUGAAGCAAGAAUUAGUUACAUAGGACUGAUGAAUUGUUGAGGGAUGAUUACUGUUUUUGUUUUAACUAUUGUUGAUAUUUUUGUAAUGUUCUAUUUUGUGGAUAUUUAAGUUAUCUAAACUUAUCUUAAACUAUCUUAAACUCUAAACUCUUAAGCUAUCUAUAACUCAUAGCAAUAUAAUAAUUAUAACUCUGCUUUUUUUUAGACUCUGCUUUUGUACACCAAAAUGAAACAUUUGUGAAUGAUAGCUUUUUCUCCUUCCCUGAGCCCUCUAGAAUUUGUAAACUCUUAUUAAAUAAUCUUAAUUUCAUGACAAUAUAAUUAUCACAUUUUCAUAACAAUAUAGUUAUUGGCAUAGAUUCAGUAAGAAUCUGUCCUCCUUUUUACCAGGACAUAAUUGGAAACACUGCUUAUGCAACCAAGGCCUCGCCUGGAGUGUUAUAUUUGGGAAUAACACUCCUUUAAUCAAAUAUGACCAGACACAUCUAAGGAGCUAGGUUAACUUUAUGGAGCCAAUGCUUACAAACCCUUCCAGGAAAAUUGGUUGAUACUUAGCUUACAAGGUUCUGAGCUUCUGGGUGGGUAAGAUCACUUUCUUGCCAGACCCAGGAAUCUUAGGAUAUUUGGGGAGAUUUAAGAAGAGACAAAUUUACCCAAUGGGUACUGUAGCUGAAAUCUGGUGUUGAGUUCUUGGUGUACCUAGAUUCAAGAGGCUUUUAAUUUAUGUUUUGGUUUAUUUAUUUAUUUACUUAUUUCACACCCAACACAACCCACCGUGAGGCUUGAACUCAUGACCCUGAGAUCAAGAUCUAAGCUGAGAUCAAGACCUGAGUUGAGAUCAAGAGUCAGAUGCUUAACCAGCUGAGCCACCCGGGCACCCAUCGAGAGGCUUUUAAAAGUCAAAUUUGAGGUUUUGGGGGAAAACUUUCAGCAAAGCAAGUUUAAGAAGGCCUAAGUGGCAAAUUUUCACUCUUGUUGCACCUGUAUAACUAGUAAAGUUAGAGACCAGCCUUAUUUGUGAUAAAAAAUAAUCUUCCUUUGAGAUUAUUUUUGAUCAAAAGGGUGGAAAUUAUAGAAAAAAAUGUGUAAUUCAAUGAGAAAUUAUGCAUUGUCUAUAGUAAUGGUUCCCAGCUUUCAUAUAACAAUCCUUUCAUUAUCUCUGUGCUAUAUGUCAGCUCUUUAAAUUGCAGGUAACUGGUGAAUAUUGUCAAUGACAAAAACCAAACAAUUAAGAAGACAGAUUUUACUUAGGCUGUUGCAGUAGGGAGAUCACCUAUAUCCAUAGAUCAGCGUAUGUAAGCAGGGUGGUUUUGCCCUAGACUUUUUAUAGGGAAAAGUAAGCAGGUUAAAGGUGGAAUGAAUUACAGCUGGGCUUGUUUCCCAAUCAGGGGAAGUCUCAGUCAGUUAAAUAGGAAAUGUUUACCUUUGUGUCUAGCUAGUUUUUGGAGAUAAACAGCUGUAAUCUCAGUUAAUCAUUCAUAUGACAAAGAGCCGGGAGUUAGAAGAUCUGUGUCUUACCUUGCCAGUGAAUUCAGGUGAAAGGGGAAAAGUCUGUGUUUGGUCUUGUCACAGGUAAAUAAGGGAGGCACCUGUGAAACCUACAGGAGUCAUGAGAGAAUGGACAGUGAGUGAGUCAUUUGGGGAAAGGUGGUUCUUUUCUGAAACAAAAAAGGGUGAAGGGAUUUCAGAAAGCAAAGAAUUGGGAAAAUUUCUUAGCCAUUGGUGUUUUCUGGGAACACAGGGCUCAGGUAAAGUAAAAUUCAACAUUACCAAUAUGCAAACUCUGUCUUGUCCUAUAGAGUUCCAGUGGACUUCCCUCCUCCUCCUGUGGAAAAAUUACCUCUAUUUGCAAUUCAGUAUCUUUACUCCGUAUAAAUUUGUGCUUCUUGACUUUUCCUUUGAACCAGUUAUAACACCUGUCUGCUUCUCUCAUAUUAUAUGAGUUGAAUCCAUUCUUCAAUAUGUAUUCCCUUUUAUACGAGAGUCAUGAUUUUGCCUUUUCCUGAAAAUUGUCUUUAAAUGGUAUAAUCCAUAUAGCUUAUUCAGAUAUCACCAGUUAUGCAUGCAAUCAUUUGUGUGUGUGUGUGUGUGUGUGUGUGUGUGUGUGUGUGUGUGAACAAGCCAGUUUCUAAGGGUCCCAGUAAGAGGCCAGGGAAUCGUAACAGCUGUGGAAAGCCCAAAGGCUAAUGGUGGCUACAGUGAAGACUGACACCCAGAGGCUAAGAGUUAUCAAAUAGAGUGAGGUGGGAUAAAUCCUUUGGUACAGAUCAUUCUGGAUUCAGAGUCUAAUGCUUAGUUUUUCAUAUUCAAGAAUUAUUAUUUCUGCAUUCCUUGGCAAUGACCUACAUGUGUUAAAACAUAGGAUUAAGAGUUAUACAUAAUUGGGGUCAAAAUGGUUCUAUCAUUUACUUGCUGUGUGACCCUGGGGAAGGAUCCUAACUUCCUUCUACCUUGGGGUCCUUAUCUGAAAACUGGGAAUAAUGUUAACACCUACCUCAUAGAAGUGUUGUGAGGAUAAAACAAGAUGAUGGAUGUGAUAGACUUGGCAUAUAGAAAGUACUCAGUAAGUGAUGGCUAUCAUUUUUUAAAGACUUUUAAAAAAUGUUUUUUUAAUUUAUUUUAAGAGAGAGACAGAGACUGAGUGUGAGGAGGGGAGGGACAGAGAGAAAGGGAGAGGGAGAGAAUCCCAAGCAGGCUUUGCGCUGUCAGUGCGGACACCAACACAGGAUUUGAUCUUACGAACCGUGAGAUCAUGACCUGAACUGAAAUCAAGAGUAGGGUGCUUAAAAGACAUGAAUAGACACUUUUCCAAAGAAGACAUAGAGAUGGCUAACAGACACAUGAAAAAAUGCUCAA